rnacentral:rRNA from 1 species
UCCAGUAGCGAUAGCAUGUCAAAUGCACCAGUCCCCAAUGGAUCAUUGAAGCAACGUUGGGCGUGGUUGGUAUCGCGAUGGGCGACUUUCUGGGGAAUCGCAUGCUGCUGGCU